AGCUCUGCUGUCCUCAGCUGAGAAUGGGGACAAUAAUUACUCAUCCUCUUGCAGCUGCUGUGAGCAUCAGUAACAGAACACACACAAAGUUUUUCUCGGUGGAAACUGGCAUCCAGGGUGAGGCCCAGCUGGCAUCCUGACGGAAAUCCCCAGUCUCUCUGGCAGAGACAGAAUUCCUGCGACAGAUCAGGGCUGCGUGGAAGGUUUCAUUUUUACAGCCCGCACCUGUCCGCUGAGACGGGAGGCUGCGUCUUGCUAUCUGCUCUCUUACCUGCCGGCUCCUUUGAAACAUGCUGCUCUUAUUUGGACUACUUCUGCCAAAUAGCGACAAGUUAAGGGGAAUUUAGGGGAAAAAAAUCUUUUUUUUUUCCAUCUGGAAAGAACUCUGAGAUGUUUAUUAACCACCUUCUCUUUUUCUAAUUUUCUUUAUUUUGAUUUUUUAAAAACUUUUUAAUUGAAUUUAUUGGGGUGACAUUAGUUAAUACAAUUUAUAUAUAUUUCAGGUGUACAGUUCUAUAGUAUAUCAUCUGUAUAUUGUAUGGUGUGAUCACCACCCCAAGUCAAGUCUCCCUCCUUCCAUCACCAUUUAUCCCCCCUGUUCUCCUAUGACCUCUUCUAUCUGUCCUAUCCCCUUCCCUGAGAUUUGGGGGUUCAUUUGUUACAACUGCAUAGUCUAGACACUAACUCAGCUAAUUAUUUGAAUUAGACUUUCUACACUGCCUUAGAAAUAUAAAAUGCAUAUAUUUUCGUAAACAUUUUGUAAGGCUAGCAUCAUGGUAAGUUAUAAAAAUUCUCCUUCCACCCUUUCCUUUGUACAUUUCCCUCACUCCUUCUCUAUUUCAAUUGGUUUGACAGUUUGUUGUUCUCACUGUUGAGUCAGUCACUGGGCCAAGAUACAGAUGCUAAUUAACUUGUGCUAAGGUGUCAGCUUACCAGUGUGUGUCCCACCCUAAAGUACUGGCUUCAGGCAAAGCAUAAAGACCCUUAGGUCAAUUCCCUCUGCAGGAACCCAGAGCCCUUGUGAGCUGUGGAGUAUCACUCACUGCCUCAGCCCCACUCAACUGAGAUGUCUCCUGAGUGAAGACUGUGGAAUGCAGAUUCAGCCCCAGGAUAUACUACUGCAAGGAGGGGUGCCCAUGUAUGACAUCUUAGAGACAGUAGGUGACAGGAUGUUGUACUCACGCCUGUUCCCUAUAUGUCCCUGCCCCACCCUGUUCCACAUACCUGCAUUGCACUGAAAUUCCCUUAAGCUAAUUAAAGUGUCAUAAGAAUCUCUAUUGAUAGUUAGAUGCCAAUGCUGCGUAGUUACUCCACUGGUAUUU